CGGACAGUGUCUGGUGGGUAGUUUGACUGGGGCGGUCUCCUCCUAAAGAGUAACGGAGGAGCACGAAGGUUGGCUAAUCCUGGUCGGACAUCAGGAGGUUAGUGCAAUGGCAUAAGCCAGCUUGACUGCGAGCGUGACGGCGCGAGCAGGUGCGAAAGCAGGUCAUAGUGAUCCGGUGGUUCUGAAUGGAAGGGCCAUCGCUCAACGGAUAAAAGGUACUCCGGGGAUAACAGGCUGAUACCGCCCAAGAGUUCAUAUCGACGGCGGUGUUUGGCACCUCGAUGUCGGCUCAUCACAUCCUGGGGCUGAAGUAGGUCCCAAGGGUAUGGCUGUUCGCCAUUUAAAGUGGUACGCGAGCUGGGUUUAGAACGUCGUGAGACAGUUCGGUCCCUAUCUGCCGUGGGCGCUGGAGAACUGAGGGGGGCUGCUCCUAGUACGAGAGGACCGGAGUGGACGCAUCACUGGUGUUCGGGUUGUCAUGCCAAUGGCACUGCCCGGUAGCUAAAUGCGGAAGAGAUAAGUGCUGAAAGCAUCUAAGCACGAAACUUGCCCCGAGAUGAGUUCUCCCUGACUCCUUGAGAGUCCUGAAGGAACGUUGAAGACGACGA
rnacentral:rRNA from 1 species